rnacentral:RNase_P_RNA from 1 species
AAAAUAAGUCGUCUUAUCGCCUUCGUUUAUUCGGGGGAGGAAAGUCCGCACAACGUAGAGCAUCAUGCUUCCUAACGGGAAGGUACGGAUUUGGUGACGAAUCCGUAACAGCAAGUGCCACAGAAAAUUACCGCCUGCAAGGGUAAGGGUGAAAAGGUAGAGUAAGAGCCUACCGCCUCAAUGGCAACAUUGGGGGCAUAGGUAAACCUCAUGAGUUGAAAGACCAAAUAGGCUGACGAGAUAAUUAUCAAUAAAAAAUUAAGAAUAAAUAGUGUAAACUAUUAACCAUUAAUUGAUAAUUGAUAACUAAAAAGGGGCUGCUCGCCCGAUGUCAGUGGGUAGGUUGAUAGAGCGUAUCGGUGACGGUGCGUCGAGAUAAAUGAUAAGACGGUGUUUCGGCACUGACAGGAUGCGGCUUAUAGACUUAUUUUUACC